CCUAUCAAGUGGAACACCAUCAAUCACAUGGUGGACUCGUUGGGUUCCAAGACAGAUAGGACACCAUGAACAGAUGCUAUGGCUGAGACUGCUGGCCUGGGCAGCACUGUACUUUUUGCUUUUCCUGGAAGGGGAAGAAGAGAACAAUCCACUUUCUGUAUGGUCCUGUCCUUCAUUCGAGUUUAUAACGUUCUCCCCAGCUGAAGUCUACACAAUCUUUACCCAGACAUCAGAAACAGCUGUCUCAGGCAGAAGGCGCUUGACUCCAGGUGGGCGCUCAGCAGCAAGGGCAGCAAAGUGCUGGGCACACAGAAGGACAACGUGAUGAAGCGCCAUCACAUGGCUGGUAGCCUGUGGUGAGUCACCGGACUUCUCGACUCCCACCUCACUAGGGUGGAAGGAACAGUAACCACAACGCUCUGCAACUCGGGCUGCGCCCGCAUGAUUGGAAACAAUCUGUGAAAUGCCUUCAGCUCUCCAAAACAACAGAAAUGAUCAAAGAUGGAGGCAAGAAGACCAGAGAACCCUAAAUGUUUACUGUCUCCAGU
rnacentral:lncRNA from 1 species